rnacentral:rRNA from 1 species
GGGAAUCUUGCGCAAUGGGCGAAAGCCUGACGCAGCCAUGCCGCGUGUAUGAUGAAGGUCUUAGGAUUGUAAAAUACUUUCACCGGGGAAGAUAAUGACGGUACCCGGAGAAGAAGCCCCGGCUAACUUCGUGCCAGCAGCCGCGGUAAUACGAAGGGGGCUAGCGUUGCUCGGAAUUACUGGGCGUAAAGGGCGCGUAGGCGGACAGUUUAGUCAGAGGUGAAAGCCCAGGGCUCAACCUUGGAAUUGCAUUUGAUACUGGCUGUCUUGAGUUCGGGAGAGGUGAGUGGAAUGCCGAGUGUAGAGGUGAAAUUCGUAGAUAUUCGGCGGAACACCAGUGGCGAAGGCGACUCACUGGCCCGAUACUGACGCUGAGGCGCGAAAGAGUGGGGAGCAAACAGG